AUACUUACCUGGCAGGGGAGACACCAUGAUCAGGCAGGUGGUUUUCCCAGGGUGAGGUCCAUCUUCUACACUCCAGAUGUGCUGACCCCUACAAUUUCUCCAAAUGUGGGAAACUCAACUGCAUAAUUUGUGGUAGUGGGAAUUUAAUUUUCUUUUUUUUUUUU
rnacentral:snRNA from 1 species